ACAUCCAGAGAAUUUAGCAGAGAUGCUUUAGUGCCUUCGGGAACUCUGAGACAGGUGCUGCAUGGCUGUCGUCAGCUCGUGUUGUGAAAUGUUGGGUUAAGCCCGNAACGAGCGCAACCCUUAUCCUUUGUUGCCAGCACGUAAUGGUGGGAACUCAAAGGAGACUGCCGGUGAUAAACCGGAGGAAGGUGGGGAUGACGUCAAGUCAUCAUGGCCCUUACGAGUAGGGCUACACACGUGCUACAAUGGCGCAUACAAAGAGAAGCGACCUCGCGAGAGCAAGCGGACCUCAUAAAGUGCGUCGUAGUCCGGAUUGGAGUCUGCAACUCGACUCCAUGAAGUCGGAAUCGCUAGUAAUCGUAAAUCAGAAUGUUACGGUGAAUACGUUCCCGGGCCUUGUACACACCGCCCGUCACACCAUGGGAGUGGGUUGCAAAAGAAGUAGAUAGCUUAACCUUCGGGAGGGCGUUUACCACUUUGUGAUUCAUGACUGGGGUGAAGUCGUAACAAGGUAGGCGUAGUGCU
rnacentral:rRNA from 1 species